rnacentral:rRNA from 1 species
GUAGGUGGCAAGCGUUGUCCGGAAUUAUUGGGCGUAAAGCGCGCGCAGGCGGUCCUUUAAGUCUGAUGUGAAAGCCCACGGCUCAACCGUGGAGGGUCAUUGGAAACUGGGGACUUGAGUACAGAAGAGGAAAGCGGAAUUCCAAGUGUAGCGGUGAAAUGCGUAGAGAUUUGGAGGAACACCAGUGGCGAAGGCGGCUUUCUGGUCUGUAACUGACGCUGAGGCGCGAAAGCGUGGGGAGCAAACAGGAUUAGAUACCCUUGUAGUCCACGCCGUAAACGAUGAGUGCUAAGUGUUAGGGGGUUUCCCGCCCCCUUAGUGCUGCAGCUAACGCAUUAAGCACUCCGCCUGGGGAGUACGGCCGCAAGGCUG